AGCGAACGCUGGCGGCAGGCCUAACACAUGCAAGUCGAACGAAGUCUUCGGACUUAGUGGCGGACGGGUGAGUAACACGUGGGAACGUACCUUUUGGUUCGGAACAACUCAGGGAAACUUGAGCUAAUACCGGAUGAGCCCUUAGGGGGAAAGAUUUAUCGCCGAAAGAGCGGCCCGCGUUAGAUUAGCUAGUUGGUGAGGUAAAGGCUCACCAAGGCUACGAUCUAUAGCUGGUCUGAGAGGAUGAUCAGCCACACUGGGACUGAGACCCGGCCCGGACUCCUACGGGAGGCAGCAGGGGGGAAUCUUGCGCAAUGGGCGAAAGCCUGACGCAGCCAUGCCGCGUGAAUGAUGAAGGUCUUAGGAUUGUAAAAUUCUUUUACCAGGGACGAUAAUGACGGUACCUGGAGAAAAAGCCCCGGCUAACUGCGUGCCAGCAGCCGCCGUAAAAC
rnacentral:rRNA from 1 species